rnacentral:rRNA from 1 species
CAAUAGCGUAUAUUUAAGUUGUUGCAGUUAAAAAGCUCGUAGUUGGAUUUCGGAUGGGAUUUGCCGGUCCGUCGUUACGAUGUGCACUGGCCAGUCCCAUCUUGUUGUCGGGGACUAGCUCCUUGGAUUCACUUCCUGGGACUAGGAGCUGACGAGGUUACUUUGAGUAAAUUAGAGUGUUCAAAGCAAGCCUACGCUCUGAAUACAUUAGCAUGGAAUAACACGAUAGGACUCUGGCUUAUCUUGUUGGUCUGUGAGACCAGAGUAAUGAUUAAGAGGGACAGUCGGGGACAUUCGUAUUUCAUUGUCAGAGGUGAAAUUCUUGGAUUUAUGAAAGACGAACUUCUGCGAAAGCAUUUGUCAAGGAUGUUUUCAUUAA